AUUAGGUUACUUUUGGCUCUACUUGAAUUUUUAUAUAUAUAAAGUAACGGCCGAAGAUGAUUAAAUCGAGGCUUAAUUUUAGGAAAAAGUAAUUGCAAUUUAUGGCGAAUACAAGUGAAAUAAUUAAAAGUUUAUAACGUAUUAGCUGUUUUUUUUUGCUUUGCCUAAAUUAUUUUUGCCUUUUCAGGGUCCCCAUAUCAGAAGGUGGAGAAAACAUUUCUACCGUUUUCUUUUACUCUUAUCAAUAAAGUUUUUGCAGGACUUGAUAAUUUCCUCUACAAUAUGAUGUUUCUAGAAAAAAAAAAAAGGGCCAAACCUGUAGCUCCUGGUGAAAGAGGAGGAACUAGAUGAUUAGAGGCAUAUUUCAUCCACUAAAGCCUCUCAAGAAAAACAGAACUACAUAUAUUUUAAGUUUGUUUGUACCAGCUUAGGAAGAAGUGUCACUUCUUAAGGUAUAAAUGGAGGAGAGGAUACAUCUUCUACAUAAAUGAUUAUAGUGUUAAAAGAGAUUUUACACAAAGUUGGUUCUCUCCUUGCUAUGGUGAUUGUCGUGGAGAGAUCUUUGCUAAGUGAACUUCGAAGUGGAUAACCUGACCUGUGAGAUCCUUUUUAGGUUUGUUGUACCUUCAUGGGAAGAAAAUUUGCUAUCAGUUCUUCCUUGCAUGGAGGUUGUUAUUUUAGGAGCUGUUAAGUGUUCUGUGUAGUGUUGUAUUUUCUUGAGAUAUGCUUUGAACUUCUGCUAGAGGUGGAGUGGAUAGGUCUGUGAAGCGAUGUUUUGGUGGCCUUCGGCGACUAGGACUUUGGGCCGGCCGACCUACCUGCUUGUUUCCAUCUGGACCCGAAAAGAGCUCUUCUUCUAUUCAAAUAAGGAAAGGUUAUGAAGACAAAGUGAUGUCUUUCAACUGUAAAGAUGUUUGUGCCACCAACUACCAUGGAUUAUAAACCAUGAGGUCCCUAAAGGUGGUCACUUGUUCAUACACUACGAUAGAGUAUGCGAGGCAAUUUUAAAAUCACUUCUUUUAGGAGAAGAUCUACCAUUAUACAGACCAAAAAAAUUGAUCGUUGAGACAGGGAGUAAGUCAUGAUUUCUAUUUUAUUCAUCAUUGUUUCUUGAUUCAUUUAUUUUGAUUAACAAAAAAGUUGAAUUUGUAUAUGUAAAAUCUUUGUAUUUUUGACAUACAUCUUUACCACUACAAGAAAAGAUAAUUUUGUAUGGCCA